rnacentral:rRNA from 1 species
AUUGACCGCUGGCGGCAGGCCUAACACAUGCAAGUCGAGCGAGCGGCGGACGGGUGAGCAAUGUCUGGGAAACUGCCUGAUGGAGGAGGACAACUACUGGAAACGGUAGCUAAUACCGCAUACCAUCAGAUGUGCCCAGAUGGGAUUAGCUAGUAGGUGGGGUAACGGCUCACCUAGGCGACGAUCCCUAGCUGGUCUGAGAGGAUGACCAGCCACACUGGAACUGAGACACGGUCCAGACUCCUACGGGAGGCAGCAGUGGGGAAUAUUGCACAAUGGGCGCAAGCCUGAUUCAGCCAUGCCGCGUGUGUGAAGAAGGCCUUCGGGUUGUAAAGUACUUUAAGCGGGGAGGCGUUACCCGCAGAAGAAGCACCGGCUAACUCCGUGCCAGCCGCCGCGGUAAUAC